GGGUCACCGUUUGUUAAGCGCACAUAUGAAUGACUGUUUUUGCUGACUUCAUUGUUUGGCUUAUAAGAGUUAUCAAAUAUCACUUUGAUUAAAUUAGAGUGCUUAAAGCAAGUGUCUUACUUGAAUAUAAAUGCAUGGAAUGAUGGAAUAUGUUGUUGUUCUAUUUGUUGGUUUUUGAACGAUGAAAUGAUUGAAAGGAACUGUUGGGGGCAUUCGUAUUGUUGUGAGAGAGGUGAAAUUCUUAGACCACAGCAAGACGAACUACUGCGAAAGCAUUUGCCAAGAAUGUUUUCAUUGAUCAAGAACGAAAGUUAGAGGUUCGAAGGCGAUCAGAUACCGCUCUAGUUCUAACCAUAAACUAUGCCAACUAGCAAUUUGCUUAUGUAUGUUUUAUGACUAGGUGAGAGGCCACGGGAAACCAAAGUAGGGUUAUGGGGGAAGUAUGGUUGCAAAGCUGAAACUUAAAGGAAUUGACGGAAGGGCACCCCCAGGAGUGGAGCCUGCGGCUUAAUUUGACUCAACACGGGAAAACUUACCUGGUCCUGACACUAGAAGGAUUGACAGAUUGAUAGCUCUUUCUUGAUUUGGUGGAUGGUGGUGCAUGCCCGUUCUUAGUUGGUGGAGUGAUUUGUCUGGUUAAUUCCGAUAACGACCGAGACUCUAGCCUAUUAAAUAACACACAGAAUCAUGUCUUCUGCGGUGUUUCUUAAUGGGAUCAAGUG
rnacentral:rRNA from 1 species